rnacentral:rRNA from 1 species
AUUGAACGCUGGCGGCAGGCCUAACACAUGCAAGUCGAGCGGAUGAAGGGAGCUUGCUCCUGGAUUCAGCGGCGGACGGGUGAGUAAUGCCUAGGAAUCUGCCUGGUUGUGGGGGCUAACGUCCGGAAACGGGCGCUAAUACCGCAUACGUCCUGAGGGAGAAAGUGGGGGAUCUUCGGACCUCACGCUCUCAGAUGAGCCUAGGUCGGAUUAGCUAGUUGGUGGGGUAAAGGCCUACCAAGGCGACGAUCCGUAACUGGUCUGAGAGGAUGAUCAGUCACACUGGAACUGAGACACGGUCCAGACUCCUACGGGAGGCAGCAGUGGGGAAUAUUGGACAAUGGGCGAAAGCCUGAUCCAGCCAUGCCGCGUGGGUGAAGAAGGUCUUCGGAUUGUAAAGCACUUUUGUUUGGGAAGAAGAGCAGUAAGUUAAUACCUUGCUGUUUUGACGUUACCAACAGAAUAAGCACCGGCUAACUUCGUG